rnacentral:rRNA from 1 species
GAUCAUGGCUCAGAACGAACGCUGGCGGCAUGGAUUAGGCAUGCAAGUCGAACGAAGCAGCAAUGCUUAGUGGCGAAAGGGUGAGGAACGCGUGAGUAAUCUGCCCCCAAGUUGGGGAAUAACAGUUGGAAACGGCUGCUAAUACCGAAUGUGGCUGAUUGACCGCAUGGUUGAUUGGCUAAAGAUUUAUCGCUUGGGGAUGAGCUCGCGUCCCAUUAGUUAGUUGGUGAGGUAACGGCCCACCAAGACGAUGAUGGGUAGCUGGUCUGAGAGGAUGGUCAGCCACACUGGGACUGAGACACUGCCCAGACUCCUACGGGAGGCUGCAGUCGAGAAUCUUGGGCAAUGCGCGAAAGCGUGACCCAGCAAAAUGCCGCGUGUAUGAUGAAGGUCUUCGGAUCGUAAAAUACUGUCUCCCGUGACGAAUUGAUGACGGUAGCGGGGAAGGAAGCCACGGCUAACUACGUGCCAGCAGCAGC